CUGCUAAGACUGGAUAGGAAACAAAAAGGCAUCUUUUUGUUUUUAAAAGACCUUCUUAUGAAGGUAUGCUUAAAGAGGGGCUUGCGCCACAUUAGUUAGUUGGUAGGGUAAAAGCCUACCAAGACGAUGAUGUGUAGCUGGACUGAGAGGUUGAACAGCCACAUUGGGACUGAGACACGGCCCAAACUCCUACGGGAGGCAGCAGUAGGGAAUUUUCGGCAAUGGAGGAAACUCUGACCGAGCAACGCCGCGUGAACGAUGAAGUAUUUCGGUAUGUAAAGUUCUUUUAUUGAAGAAGAAAAAGUAGUGGAAAAACUAUAUUGACGUUAUUCAAUGAAUAAGCCCCGGCUAACUAUGUGCCAGCAGCCGCGGUAAGACAUAGGGGGCGAGCGUUAUCCGGAAUUAUUGGGCGUAAAGGGUGCGUAGGCUGUUAGAUAAGUCUAUAAUUUAAUUUCAGUGCUUAACGCUGUUUUGUUAUAGAAACUGUCUUGACUAGAGUGAGAUAGAGGCAAGCGGAAUUCCAUGUGUAGCGGUAAAAUGUGUAAAUAUAUGGAGGAACACCAGAAGCGUAGGCGGCUUGCUGGGUCUUUACUGACGCUGAGGCACGAAAGCGUGGGUAGCAAACAGGAUUAGAUACCCUGGUAGUCCACGCCGUAAACGAUGAGUACUAAGUGUCGGGGUAAAACUCGGUACUGAAGUUAACACCUUAAGUACUCCGCCUGAGUAGUACGUACGCAAGUAUGAAACUUAAAGGAAUUGACGGGACUCCGCACAAGCGGUGGAUCAUGUUGUUUAAUUCGAAGAUACACGAAAAAUCUUACCAGGUCUUGACAUACUCUGCAAAGCUAUAGAAAUAUAGUGGAGGUUAUCAGGGAUACAGGUGGUGCAUGGUUGUCGUCAGUUCGUGUCGUGAGAUGUUAGGUUAAGUCCUAAAACGAGCGCAACCCUUGUCGUUAAUUGCCAGCACGUAAUGGUGGGGACUUUAGCGAGACUGCCAAUUAAACAUUGGAGGAAGGUGAGGAUUACGUCAAAUCAUCAUGCCCCUUAUGAUCUGGGCUACAAACGUGAUACAAUGGCUGUGACAAAGAGUAGCUGAAACGCGAGUUUUUAGCCAAUCUCAAAAAAGCAGUCUCAGUUCGGAUUGAAGUCUGUAACUCGACUUCAUGAAGUUGGAAUCGCUAGUAAUCGCGAAUCAGCAUGUCGCGGUGAAUACGUUCUCGGGGUUUGUACACACCGCCCGUCAAA
rnacentral:rRNA from 1 species